rnacentral:ncRNA from 12 species
AACAUUUGUGGUGGUAAAUUUUCGUGUCAACCACACGCCGCUGGUACUGACAGGAGGAAACUCUGAGAGAUGCAGGAGAAUGGCACGCCUGCCAAAUGUU